CCUACGGGAGGCAGCAGUGAGGAAUAUUGGUCAAUGGGCGCGAGCCUGAACCAGCCAAGUAGCGUGAAGGUUGACUGCCCUACGGGUUGUAAACUUCUUUUAUAAAGGAAUAUAGUGAUGCCCGUGUGCCUUUUUGUAAUUACUUUAUGAAUAGGGAUCGGCUAAUUCCUUGCCAGCAGCCGCGGUAAUACGGAGGAUCCGACAGUUAUCCGGAUUUAUUGGUUUUAAGGGGAGUGUAGAUGGGUUGUUAGUUAGGUGGUGAAGGUUUGCGGUUCACCCGUAAAAUUGCAAUUGAUACUGGCAUGCUUGAGUACAGUUGAGGGAGGCGGAAUUCGUGGUGUAGCGGUGAAAUGCUUAGAUAUCACGAAGAACUCCGAUUGCGAAGGCAGCUUACUAAUCUGCCACUGACAUUGAUGCUCGAAAGCGUGGGUAUCAAACAGGAUUAGAUACCCGAGUAGUC
rnacentral:rRNA from 1 species